UACGUAGGGUGCAAGCGUUAUUCGGAAUUAUUGGGCGUAAAGCGCACGCAGGCGGUCUGUCAGGUCUGAUGUGAAAUCCCCGGGCUCAACCUGGGAACGGCAUCCGAAACUGGCAGGCUAGAGUCUUGUAGAGGGAGGCAGAAUUCCAGGUGUAGCGGUGAAAUGCGUAGAGAUCUGGAGGAAUACCGGUGGCGAAGGCGGCCCCCUGGACAAAGACUGACGCUCAGGUGCGAAAGCGUGGGGAGCAAACAGG
rnacentral:misc_RNA from 1 species